CGAAGUGAUUGGCUCUUGAUGCCU
rnacentral:siRNA from 1 species